rnacentral:rRNA from 2 species
UACGUAGGGUGCAGGCGUUAAUCGGAAUUACUGGGCGUAAAGCGUGCGCAGGCGGUCUGUUAAGAGAGAUGUGAAAUCCCCGGGCUUAACCUGGGAACUGCGUUUCUAACUGGCAGGCUUGAGUGUGGCAGAGGGGGGUGGAAUUCCACGUGUAGCAGUGAAAUGCGUAGAGAUGUGGAGGAACACCGAUGGCGAAGGCAGCCCCCUGGGCUAACACUGACGCUCAUGCACGAAAGCGUGGGGAGCAAACAGG